rnacentral:tRNA from 1 species
GAGAGUGUGGCUCAGCGGUAGAGCACUUGCCUAGCAUGUGUGAGGCCCUGGGUUCAAUCCUCAGCACCA